rnacentral:rRNA from 1 species
UACAGAGGUCCCAAGCGUUGUUCGGAAUUAUUGGGCGUAAAGAGCUCGUAGGCGGUCUGUUGCGUCGGCUGUGAAAACCCGGGGCUCAACCCCGGGCCUGCAGCCGAUACGGGCAGACUAGAGUUCGGCAGGGGAGACUGGAAUUCCUGGUGUAGCGGUGAAAUGCGCAGAUAUCAGGAGGAACACCGGUGGCGAAGGCGGGUCUCUGGGCCGAUACUGACGCUGAGGAGCGAAAGCGUGGGGAGCGAACAGG